rfam:Picea glauca, whole genome shotgun sequence.
GGAUAUGAUGAUGGAUUGAUUGUCGCCCCAGUCUAAGUAUCACUUUUAAUGUGUUGCGUGAUGAUUGGCAAUUUUACAUGCUGAAUC